rnacentral:lncRNA from 1 species
CUGGUUCCUGAGUCAAUUCCAUCCAGGUAGGAGGAAUCCUAUCAGAAAGUAUGUGAGUGCGUUUGCAGAGUACAUUCCUGUGGAGCCCCCUUAUCUCUGGCUGCAUCUGCUUCUGCAGGGAGAAAGUAUCCCUGCUGUGAGAGGUCUGGGAUCUGGAGUACAGAGGAUGGUGAAGCCAAGGCCUGAAGACCUUUCCCGCAAGGUUGCAGAGGAAGAGGCAGAAGAAGGACCAGAACCCAGCUCCCCUGACUCCCUAUCCAGUGCUCUUCUCAUAGAUUACAUUGCUUCAGCAUCCACCUGGCUAUUGCUCCAUCCAGGGGUUACAGGAGUCACUGACUGUUUUGGUUGCUUCUUGGUUGGAGGAUGUUGUGCCUCACCGAUGAGAGCUGGAAGCAAAGGUACCAGUUCUUAGAGGAAGCGUAGGAAUGUGUCCCUUCCUGCUCGGGUCUCUCAACUGAACUCAACCCUUCCUUGAUUGAUUGACAAGCAUGUUAUCUCUCAUAAUCCCUGCCCGGUAAGGGCUGAUGUUCCCAUUUUACACAUGAGGAUAUUGGAGCUCAGAGAAGUGAAAUGAUUGCUGAAGGUCACACAGCCUGGCUUCAAGCCUCUCGGGCUCCAAAAGGCAUCUUCUGUUCUCUCCGUCAGGAAGCCUCUUUUGGGUGAUUAACUGAGAUUAAAAAUGAAAAUAUACAUGAAAGAAA